rnacentral:hammerhead_ribozyme from 1 species
AUCCAGCUGACGAGUACCAAAUAGGACGAAACGCGCAUCCUGGAU